GAACGUACGCUGGCGGCACGCCUAACACAUGCAAGUCGAACGAAGUAGCAAUACUUAGUGGCAGACGGGUGAGUAACAUGUAGGUAUCUGCCCUUUGGCCUGGAAUAACACGAGGAAACUUGUGCUAAUACCGGAUAAGUCUUUACGGAGAAAGCUUUAUGCACCAUUGGAUGAGCCUGCACUUGAUUAGUUUGUUGGUGGGGUAAUGGCCUACCAAGACUGUGAUCAAUAGCUGAUUUGAGAGGAUGAUCAGCCACAUUGGGACUGAGACACGGCCCAAACUCCUACGGGAGGCAGCAGUGGGGAAUCUUGCACAAUGGAGGAAACUCUGAUGCAGCGAUGCCGCGUGAGUGAAGAAGGCCUUUGGGUUGUAAAGCUCUUUCGUCGGGGAAGAAAAUGACUGUACCCGAAUAAGAAGGUCCGGCUAACUUCGUGCCAGCAGCCGCGGUAAUACGAAGGGACCUAGCGUAGUUCGGAAUUACUGGGCUUAAAGAGUUCGUAGGUGGUUGAAAAAGUUAGUGGUGAAAUCCCAGAGCUUAACUCUGGAACUGCCAUUAAAACUUUUCAGCUAGAGUAUGAUAGAGGAAAGCAGAAUUUCUAGUGUAGAGGUGAAAUUCGUAGAUAUUAGAAAGAAUACCAAUUGCGAAGGCAGCUUUCUGGAUCAUUACUGACACUGAGGAACGAAAGCAUGGGUAGCGAAGAGGAUUAGAUACCCUCGUAGUCCAUGCCGUAAACGAUGUGUGUUAGACGUUGGAAAUUUAUUUUCAGUGUCGCAGGGAAACCGAUAAACACACCGCCUGGGGAGUACGACCGCAAGGUUAAAACUCAAAUGAAUUGACGGGGACCCGCACAAGUAGUGGAGCAUGUGGUUUAAUUCGAAGAUACGCGCAGAACCUUACCAACACUUGACAUGUUCGUCGCGACUCUAAGAGAUUAGAGUUUUCGGUUCGGCCGGACGAAACACAGGUGCUGCAUGGCUGUCGUCAGCUCGUGUCGUGAGAUGUUGGGUUAAGUCCCGCAACGAGCGCAACCCUCACUUUUAGUUGCCAUCAUUAAGUUGGGCACUCUGAAAGAACUGCCAGUGAUAAGCUGGAGGAAGGUGGGGAUGACGUCAAGUCCUCAUGGCCCUUACGUGUUGGGCUACACACGUGCUACAAUGGUAUCUACAACAGGAAGCAAGACUGCGAAGUUAAGCAAAUCCCUAAAAGAUACCUCAGUUCGGAUUGCACUCUGCAACUCGAGUGCAUGAAGCUGGAAUUACUAGUAAUCGUGGAUCAGCGUGCCACGGUGAAUGCGUUCCCGGGUCUUGUACUCACCGC
rnacentral:rRNA from 1 species